rnacentral:rRNA from 1 species
GCAAUGGGCGCAAGCCUGACCCAUCGACGCCCCCUGGAGGACUAACGUCUUAGGAUUGUAACCUCCUGUCACGCCUAAGGAAGGCUGUCUGGUUAACACCCAUGCAGAUUGACGAAGGUGCGAGAGGAAGUCAUGGCUAACUCUGUGCCAGCAGCCGCGGUAAUACAGAGAUGGCAACCGUUGUUCGGAAUCACUGGGCUUAAAGGGCACGUAGGCGGAAGAGUAAGUUGGUAUUGAAAGCUCCUGGCCCACCCAGGAAGGGUGUACCAAAACUACUGUUCUGGAGAUUAGGAGGGGAGAGUGGAACUUCUGGUGGAGCGGUGAAAUGCGUUGAUAUCAGAAGGAACGCCGGAGGCGAAAGCGACUCUCUGGACUAAGACUGACGCUGAGGUGCGAAAGCUAGGGGAGCAAACGGGAUUAGAUACCCCGGUAGUCCUAGCCGUAAACGAUGAACACUAGGUGGUGGCUCUCAAGGUCGCCGCCUGAGCAAAAGCAUUAAGUGUUCCGCCUGGGGAGUAUGGUCGCAAGGCUG